rnacentral:rRNA from 1 species
UACGUAGGUGGCGAGCGUUGUCCGGAUUUACUGGGCGUAAAGGGUGCGUAGGUGGUUUCUUAAGUCAGAGGUGAAAGGCUACGGCUCAACCGUAGUAAGCCUUUGAAACUGGGGAACUUGAGUGCAGGAGAGGAGAGUGGAUUUCCUAGUGUAGCGGUGAAAUGCGUAGAUAUUAGGAGGAACACCAGUUGCGAAGGCGGCUCUCUGGACUGUAACUGACACUGAGGCACGAAAGCGUGGGGAGCAAACAGG